GGUCUCUUAGCUCAGUUGGUAGAGCAAUGGAUUGAAAAUCCAUGUGUCCCUGGUUCGAUUCCUGGAGAGACCAC
rnacentral:tRNA from 3 species